CUCAUGGAGAGUCUCCAUCCAGCAGCAUCUCUGUCUCAGGUAAACCUUCAACAGGUGAACCUUCAACCAAAGCUCCACCCACAUCCACCAGCUCUCAUGUUGGUCUUCAUGUUUUCAUCCACCUGGUGGUGUUCUCUCCGUACUGCGUCUCCACUCUCCUCCUGGUGUCCUUAUAUCGACGAGCUACAGGACCCUUCUGUUUGUUGAUGACCCGGUCCACCCGCGCUGCGCCAGGAUUGGAUGAUAACUCUGAUGAUGUCAUCACUGCUGUGACCACAGAGUAUCACUUCUAAACCUGCUUUCCUGGGUUUUCUUUGACUGAGACUUCCUGGAUCAGAACCAGCAGAGACUGACAACACCUCCCUGAGGACCUCCAGGUGUCAGAGUUACCUGUUCAAAGAUCUCUGGUUCUCUCUGGAGGAGCUUCUGGACGUUCAAACAUCAUAAACUGGAGGAAUAAUCUGU